GUCCAUUAGCCAAAAUGUUAUCAACAGGGAAAAGAAACAACCACCAUUACCACAUGCUAUCAAGAGAGGGUUUAAAAAUAAUAAUAAUCUGGUCAGUAUGGGGGUGUUUAUAUGGAAUGGGAAAUCCAUCUAACAAGUGCAAUUUCAGACAAAAUAUAUAGAGUGAGUGAGUGAGAAAGAGAGAGCCAGGUACUAAUAGAGACCCAAUAUAAACUAAAAUACAGUCAGGUACAUGGUUUUAAGAUGGCAAAUGAACUCACACUACUGAGAUAUCAUUGCUUGGUUUUAUAUUUAUGCUACAGAUGAUGUAUCACACAGACAGCAUGAAAUUCAAGCAAGUUGCCAGACAAAGGAGGAAUAUUUCAUCCAAUCAAAUAGGAUCAAUCUCCAUGAAAUUUUAUUCACCAUCUCACUAUGACCUACUUCUCUCUCACAAACAACAGAUGAGAUAGUAAAGCCAGCAUCUCCACUGUAUCCUUUCAGAGUGCAGGCAGGGAUUCCCAUGUGUCCUUCAUACAAAAAAUUCCCAACACACG